GCCCGGCUAGCUCAAUCGGUAGAGCGUGAGACUCUUACUUUACCUCCUAAGAUGAAUCCUUAAGGUGGUGGAGAGAAACACGGACAUCUCAAGGUUGUGGGUUCGACCCCCACGUCGGGCU
rnacentral:tRNA from 1 species